CUUCUGUUUCACGUCCGUUUGC
rnacentral:siRNA from 1 species